rnacentral:rRNA from 1 species
GACGAACGCUGGCGGCGUGCUUAACACAUGCAAGUCGAACGGCAAGGCCCUGCUUUUGUGGGGUGCUCGAGUGGCGAACGGGUGAGUAACACGUGAGUAACCUGCCCUUGACUUUGGGAUAACUUCAGGAAACUGGGGCUAAUACCGGCUAGGAGCUCCUGCUGCAUGGUGGGGGUUGGAAAGUUUCGGCGGUUGGGGAUGGACUCGCGGCUUAUCAGCUUGUUGGUGGGGUAGUGGCUUACCAAGGCUUUGACGGGUAGCCGGCCUGAGAGGGUGACCGGCCACAUUGGGACUGAGGUACGGCCCAGACUGCUACGGGAGGCAGCAGUGGGGAAUAUUGCACAAUGGGCGGAAGCCUGAUGCAGCAACGCCGCGUGCGGGAUGACGGCCUUCGGGGUGUAAACCGCUUUCGCCUGUGACGAAGCGUGAGUGACGGUAAUGGGUAAAGAAGCACCGGCUAACUACGUG